rnacentral:rRNA from 1 species
AGGACGAACGCUGGCGGCGUGCUUAACACAUGCAAGUCACGGGGGCCCGCAAGGGUAACCGGCGAACGGGUGCGUAACACGUGAGCAAUCUGCCGAUCUCUGGGGGAUAGCCAGCCUAACGGCUGGGUAAAUACCGCAUACGCUCAUUGGGGGGAGUCCCCUGGUGAGGAAACCUCCGGGGGAGAUCGAGGAGCUCGCGACCUAUCAGCUAGUUGGCGGGUAACGGCCCACCAAGGCAGCGACGGUAGCUGGU